rnacentral:rRNA from 1 species
AAUGAACGUUGGCGGCGUGGAUUAGGCAUGCAAGUCGUACGAGAAUCGUAGCAAUACGAGGAAAGUGGCGGAAGGGAGAGGAUUACGUGGGAAUCUACCCUCAGAACUGGGAUAGCGGCGGGAAACUGCCGGUAAUACCAGAUAAUGUCUGUGGACCAAAGGUGUGAUUCCGUCUGGGGAUGAGCCCACGUCCUAUUAGCUAGUUGGCAGGGUAAUGGCCUACCAAGGCAAUGAUGGGUAGCGGGUGUGAGAACAUGACCCGCCUCACUGGGACUGAGAACUGCCCAGGAAGCUACGGGUGGCUGCAGUCGAGAAUCUUCGGCAAUGAGCGCAAGCUUGACCGAGCGACGCCGCGUGCGGGAUGAAGGCCUUCGGGUUGUAAACCGCUGUCGUAGGGGAGCAAGAGAUGAGGGUACUCCCUCUGAUUUGAGCGAUCCUAGGAGGAAGGACGGGCUAAGUUCGUGCCAGCAGCCGCCGUAACAC